rnacentral:pre_miRNA from 9 species
UCUCGAUAUCGUAAAAGUAAGCACACAUUUGUAUAGAGUUGGAACGUUUGCUUACGUUUCCGCUAGGGGCGCUGUUCCAACUGCAUACAAAAUUGGGUUGACUUUUACGCUAUCGA